rnacentral:rRNA from 1 species
CGUCAAGUCAUCAUGGCCCUUAUGUCCACGGGCGACACACGUGCUACAAUGGCCGGCACAGCGGGAAGCGAGGCAGUGAUGCCAAGCGGAUCCCUUAAAGCCGGUCUCAGUUCGGAUUGAAGUCUGCAACUCGACUUCAUGAAGCUGGAAUCGCUAGUAAUCGCAGAUCAGCCAAGCUGCGGUGAAUACGUUCCCGGGCCUU